GGCCAAAUGGGUCAUGCAUGAGUACAGGUUGAAAGGAAAUACACCCCCAAACAGCCAAGAUUGGAGCACAACCAAAUAUUUCAGAAGAGUUACUGUGGGAAGAAAACAAAUGUUUGAGGGCUAGCGAGACUGAGUUCCUUUGGGGAUGAAUUGGGUCCAUUCCCUUUGAAUCCAAGACCAAAACCGACCAGCUGAGACAGCUCAUGUGACCUACUUCUUUUUUCUACUUCUACUAACCCUUCUGAUGUGUCCCGUUCUUCAUUGAUUAUCUUAAACUUCCGAACCUAUUUUACUCCACA